UAUGUGGUCACUGGAAGCUGCUCUCAGGUGUCCUUGCCCAAAGGGACAUACAGCACACAGCCUGUGGAGGGUGGAGGAACCAACUGCAAGAUCACUUGUCCUCGUCAAUUAAUGUACACUGGAGAAAGAGCUACCUUCGGGCUGUGAGAUCAUCGUAUAAUCGUGACCACUCAUUUCCCAUCAUGAGACUGCUGUUCCUUCUGUUUCUCCUUCUUGGAUGUCUAAUACAAACAGCCUCAGGAUAUGAGAGAAAGGAUAGAUUCCAUGAAUGUGAACACAUGGGUGGUGUCUGCAGGCACCAAAAAACCCACGGUUGCUCUAUCCUGCCUGCACAGUGCAAAAGCCGGUACAAACACUGCUGUAGGUUGUAGCUGCAACAGCUGGAGGGGCCUCAGGGUAGCCCAAGAGAACCACAGCCCCUGACUUCUGCUUAAUAAAGGCAUCACCACCCAUGUGGA